UUUCGUGCUCGAAAGAGAACCUGCACACAGGUGCUGCAUGGCUGUCGUCAGCUCGUGUCGUGAGAUGUUGGGUUAAGUCCCGCAACGAGCGCAACCCUUGCCAUCAGUUGCUACGAAAGGGCACUCUGAUGGGACUGCCGGUGACAAACCGGAGGAAGUGGGGAUGACGUCAAGUCCUCAUGGCCCUUAUAGGUGGGGCUACACACGUCAUACAAUGGCCGGUACAAAGGGCAGCCAACCCGCGAGGGGGAGCCAAUCCCAUAAAGCCGGUCGUAGUCCGGAUCGCAGUCUGCAACUCGACUGCGUGAAGUCGGAAUCGCUAGUAAUCGUGGAUCAGCAUGUCACGGUGAAUACGUUCCCGGGUCUU
rnacentral:rRNA from 1 species